rnacentral:lncRNA from 1 species
ACAGGUUUGCUGUUUAAAGAUUUCCUUUGGCUCUCAGCAGAUAAGAGGCCAAUAUACUCAAACUCUUAUCUACUGCAGUGAAUACAUUAAGUGGCAUUGAUAAGGUUGGAAAUGUGGCAUAGGCAUAUUGAGUCUAAUGGCUUGUUAAGUGCAUGUGUCAGCUUCUUCUUUCUGAAAACUUCAGGAAGAACUGCAUGCUCCUGAUAAAUUUAUUUAAAUUGCCACCCUUGACACACAAACAGAAUAGAAUACCUUAAUUAGAGUAAGAAAGUUGUUCACUUUCCUGCGUCACUAAUGGAGAUUGACAGAGGACUUACUUAGAGAGUUAUAAAUAGAAUUUAGGCUGCUGUGAGGAAAAGAGAAACCAAAAUGAUACCAGCUGUACCAGGAGAAGAACUGAAGAGGCAUCCAAGGAUGUUUUCCUAGUCAUCAAUUCCCAGGUCUUCACUAUUUUUAGGGGCUGACAGUUUUAUAAAUAAGUCAGCAAGGGCUUUUCCACCUUACCUUAAUCUGCUAUGAGUUGCUGGUUUGAGCUCAAGUGGUGACAAUUCAAAGAAGAACAUUCAUGGGGCUAUGUUUUCAACAGAACUGGUGAAACCAUAUCCACACAGGCUAUGGAAGCAGACUCAGCAGACUUGCUGUUCAAAAGACCAUUCCUAAGGAUUUUUAAGAAUUUUUUUUCUGUUGAAAAAAAAAAAACCUGUAUUUCCAAUCUCAUCUGCAUGUACUGCCACAACAUACUGGAUGUAAAUAAAUUUAAAGAGAUUGUGGACGGUAAGGUCUUGUGGAAGGAUCUACUUCAUGGAUGGCAUCUGCUACUGUGCACAUUCAUUCAUUCAUUGAUGUUAAACAUGUUCUUCACAACCCAGAAUUCAGAGCAGGUGAGAAGAGUAAGGAGGAUUCCAUCCAAUUUGAUUUGAACAAUGAACUACACUACACCAUUGAUGAUGAAGACUAUCAAAUUGCGUAGUCUCUACAGGACAUCCCCUUUAGGUUUUUAGUGGGACCAGAGGUUAUAUCGAUUACUUGUGAACUCUUUAUAUGUGAGGCGUCUAAGGAAUGAAGAGACAGCCUUUAUUCUACCAUCUACUUCCUAUUUCAGAGGGUCGAUUGAAGAUUGCCCAAUCUGGAGAGAUCUAUAUAGGGAAAAGAGGACACUUUAUGGAUGAAUCAAUAGACACAGAUAGAGUAAGUAAUUUGAAGAUUUGACCUCCUCUCCACAGCGACAAAAGGUCAUCUGUUACCACUACUUGAAUACCCUCUGGCAUUGGUGGGUUAGAAGUUUAAUUGCUGCAAGAAGUUCAGAAUAUUGGGAAAUGGUAUUCUCUUGACUCUCAGUGCUAUGUACAUCAGAAGAGGGAGUUGGAUCCAUUAAAAACACUCUUUGACCCAAAAGAAUUGUGAACUGUUUUGUGGAGAGAGACCCUUUCCUGAAGAGGCCACACACACCAAUGUUUCAAGUCUUUGGCCUGCUGAGACAGAUUUUUGAAAAAUUAUGUUUGUAUCUCAUCCCAGAAAAAUAAUAAGAUAAGAUAAUGGCUAAAAUCCUAUUGCUUAACAUCAUACAUUGCAACUUGUGUAGGGCCAUUAAAUCAGUGGGGAUUUGGUGAAUCAGUUCCUAUGUAUGUUCCAUUGAUGCAAAUAGGCUUAGUCUAAUUGCAACUUACUACAUCAAAGCAAGUGAUAAUUAGAGUAGGUUUAUUUAGUGAAUAAACUUACAGGGUAGUUUAUUCA